UCCAGGGUAGCCUAGUGGACAUGGCAUCUGCCCGGUAGGCGAACACUGUGGGUUUGAUUCCCAUCCCUGGAC
rnacentral:tRNA from 1 species